UACGUAGGGUCCGAGCGUUGUCCGGAAUUACUGGGCGUAAAGCGCACGUAGGCGGAUUGUUAAGUCAGGGGUGAAAUCCUGGAGCUCAACUCCAGAACUGCCUUUGAUACUGGCAAUCUUGAGUCCGGAAGAGGUGAGUGGAACUCCUAGUGUAGAGGUGGAAUUCGUAGAUAUUAGGAAGAACACCAGUGGCGAAGGCGGCUCACUGGUCCGGUACUGACGCUGAGGUGCGAAAGCGUGGGGAGCAAACAGG
rnacentral:rRNA from 1 species